CGACCGCUGGCGGCGUGCUUACCACAUGCACGUCGAACGGAAAGGCCCUGCUUUUGUGGGGUGCUCGAGUGGCGAACGGGUGAGUAGCACGUGAGUAACCUGCCCUUGACUUUGGGAUAACUUCAGGAAACUGGGGCUAAUACCGGAUAGGAGCUCCUGCUGCAUGGUGGGGGUUGGAAAGUUUCGGCGGUUGGGGAUGGACUCGCGGCUUAUCAGCUUGUUGGUGGGGUAGUGGCUUACCAAGGCUUUGACGGGUAGCCGGCCUGAGAGGGUGACCGGCCACAUUGGGACUGAGAUACGGCCCAGACUCCUACGGGAGGCAGCAGUGGGGAAUAUUGCACAAUGGGCGGAAGCCUGAUGCAGCAACGCCGCGUGCGGGAUGACGGCCUUCGGGUUGUAAACCGCUUUCGCCUGUGACGAAGCGUGAGUGACGGUAAUGGGUAAAGAAGCACCGGCUAACUACGUG
rnacentral:rRNA from 1 species